CUAACAUACUCAACUCCAUCUAGAGAACAUCUCUAGAAGUCAUACAUGCAAGGAAAUAAAUCCAGAUCCCAGAUCCAAAAUGAGCAAGCCAGGGGCAACACUGGCAAAAAGACAUUCCCUGAGAGGACAGGAGGAAGAAACCUUGAGAGGAACCAAGUCUUGGGGCCUCUUUCAUUCUUUUAGAACCAGGAAAGAUCAAUUGACCCUAGAGCGGCACAAUCGAUCCACACACCAUCGCCCCCAGCUUCUAAUGAAGCCAUCUGCGAGGGGAAUCCUGCCCUUACACAAUUACCCAGCAGCCCUUUCUCCAUGGGCAACCCAUAUCAGACUGCCGACACCCUGAG
ensembl:lncRNA